AAUUUACAAUUAACACAGGGUGAGGGUCAUCCUUUCAGAAUUUCUGGCUUGGAGGUCCACAAUUUAGAAUUGGACAUUAUUCCUACUCAUAGUUGAAAACCCUGGCAACGUAUGUUAUAUAAUUUCCCUUGCUGCCAAAAGUUCCUCCAAAUUGACUUUUGUCCCCCAUCGGCAGCUCUCCAAACCCUCAUCCCAUAGAAAACAAUAAUUACAUAUCAUAGCAAUGGAAUUUCCUACCUAAUUAUUACAAAGUAAUCUAUAGAGGCCAAAAUAUUAAACCCUUCAUCUCAACUUUGUUGGAAUCUUUUCUGUACUCUACCAUUUUUUCCUUUACUCUUUCUUUAAAGUUUCUCUAUUAUACUUCCUUCACAACUUCACCAACCAUUCUUCCCUAAUGACCUAUAAGUCUUAAGCAUCUUGCCCCUUCCCUUUUUUCCCCACUUCAAUUUCCUAACAUAACCAACAGGUCCAGGAACCUGGCUCAGCCUGAAAAUAUGUCUUCUUUACCAAUACAUACACCAAAAAUGGCCAGAGUGUUCAGAGAGGACUGAUGUAGAACACACAUAUGAUUUGGAAAUCUUUGUUGAUGACAUUCUAACAUUUCUCAGAAACAUUAUGGAAAUACAACUUGAUUUAUGCCCCUUAGAAGUGAUUAUUUUCUUUUCUCUUGAUUUAUUGCCAAAGUUGUAUAAGCAGGUAGACAAGGAAUCAGUAUAGCCAGGUGUGACUAUGUAGUUUGUCCCCAGAAGAAUGGUUCCUGAAAUAUACACCAUGAUGCACUGUCUGGUUUUGGGUCUUUUUGUCUGAAGAGCUAUGGCAGCCCAGAGAAAACAUCUGGUUCUUAUUCAUAUAAAUAUGGUGAAAUAGGCUAGGGUACUCCUGCUAGGAAAUAUGACAAAUGGAGUUUCAGAUACAUAUGAACAACUACUUACUAGAUAUCUUCACUUAGCUAUCUAAUAGGUGUUUCCAGCUUAACAUGACUAAAUCAGACAUCUUGAUACUUCUUCAAAUUUUGUUUCUUCUCCAGUCUUUGUCAUUUCAUAAAAUUGGUUCUAUUACCCACCCACUUGCUCAAGCAAAGAACCUAAGAGACAUUUUGACCCUUCCUUUUUCCUUUCCAAUCACAUCUAAUCCAUCAAAAAACCUGGUAGUUUAAAGUAUGUUUCCAAAUUUUUCAUUUCCCUCCAUGUCUAUGGCUACCUAUUUUUAGACACUAUCAUAUGUUCCUCCUUGUCUUUUAUCUUGCUUAUAUAAAAAUAUAAUUCACAUAACAGGUAAAAUUAUAUUAUAGUUUAGCUAAAAAAUAUUUCAGAGGCUUGUCAUUGCACUUGGAACAAUACCAAAUCAUUGUUUGGUCUACUACCCCUUCCUUUUGGCUAUAUAUUCAAAUUCAUCCCUCAGUAACCUCUCUUCAUCCCAACUGUGAUUUCUAUUAAUACAAUAUACUGAAUUUUCUGCCCAAAGAACACUGCUUUAUCAAAGCAAAGUCCAUUCUAAUAUGAUAUUAGUUAUCUUUGAAUUAGAACAUGAAGUCUUAGAAAACUUUACUUCCUAAAUUGAUGUAUUACCUAGUUCUACUAUUCAUGAUAUAAUACAAAUAUGUUUUGUGUGUAUUCAUGAUUCUGAAGUAUUCCUCAAAGUGCAGACAAUGCUGAUUGUCUAUAUUUGACUACAAAUUAUUUUGCCAACAAAUGUAGACAAAAUAAUUUGCAGGUGCCAAAUGAAAUUUGUUUUCCGUAUGUUAAUGGGGAGUGGAGGGAUCUGAGAGGCUAAGAAAAAGAAUGGCUUAGAUGUGAGGCCAGAGAGCAGCCAUCACUUAUUUUACACAUGUGCUGACAAUAGACCCUAAUUUUCUCUGUUCUUGUUCCAGGCACGGCCCUAGUCCAGAAAUUCUCUUUGUGAUUCUAGCUAUAUGCAGGUUUUUCAGUGCCUGUUUUGAAACUAAUGAGAAGAAAAAGAAAAAUGUCAUUGUCAGGGUCUUAGAAAUACUUAAUGAUGGUUCUUACCUGUGGGUAAAUAUCAAGGAGCUAAAAUCCACAGGUAUGUGAUGUGCUUUCUGAAGGAGAGAAAAUAAUGAAGUCUCACAAACAAAAGAUGAUCAGAGGUGCUGUUCCCUGGAUAGAUAGGACACAUAGGAGAAUGGGUUGGCCACAAGUAGGAUGUGAAUUUCAGCACUGGACCUGCUGAGUUGCAGAGGCUUAUGGUAUAUAUAACACACAGUUUCGAUGUUAGGGUAGGCUCUGCAAAGAUACUUGUGUGAAAAAUAGAGAUUUGUGAAUUACUAGAAUAUUAAGGACAGUUGAAGAAUUGGAAGUUGAUAAAAUCAAUAAAUAUGAGUAUAUACUAUGAAAAGAAAAAUAAGAGAGAUGAGAGAUAAGGAUAAAAAUGGAACUCCAUGGAUCACUGUCACUUAUAAUGCAAGUAAAGAGAACAAAAACUAAAGAGACCCAGCAGUGAAAGAAUGGGGAGAGAGGCAUUCCAGAAGCCAAAGGAAAAGAAGGUUUCCUCAGUUUGAAAGUGGUCAACCAUGUCAUAUGCCUCAGAGAGUUCAAAUAAGAUAAGGACUUCAAAGCUCCAUGAAGUCCAUAUGUGAUCUUUGCCAGAGCUAUUUUAGACAAUUUAUAGCAACAGAAGCCGGGUAUCAAUAGGGUGAGGAGUGACAGGGAGGUGAAUAAUUUUUUCAGAAAACUUAGUCAUGAAGAAAAGGUCAUAGUUUAGGUUAUAUCUAGAGGUAGGUAAAGGAUCAAUAAAACUUUGUUUGUUUGUUUUUGUUGUUUUUAAGCUCAAAGAGAGCAAGAUUCUUUAAAAUGAGCUAGGAAUGAUGCAGAGAUCUGAGGGACAUAGAAUGAGGAAAACAUUCUAGAUGAGAACAGGGAGGAUUGUUCCACUGUAACCAAUGGUUUUAAUGAUUUACUGAGACAUAUUGUGAGAUAUAUAUUAACAUAAUAUACAAAUUUACAGUUAUUCACCUCCAAGAAACCUUCCUAAGAUUUCCUACAUCCUCAAUAAUCCCAACCCAGGCUGGGAAACUUGCCAUACUCUGGACAUUAGGUGAGAGAGCACGUGGGAACAAGCAAUGAAAAUAUAUCAUGGCAGGUAUCAUUAAUCCAGACAAACAUCUUAACUUCUUGGGACAUGCAAAUAAGUAUGCUGUUUACAAGUGAAGUUAAUAGAAGAACAAGAGUUCCAGACUAUCAGGAGCCUUGCAGGACCACAUCUGAAAGUCUCCCAACGUGGCAGACCAUUCCUGGCCUGCCUUAAAUCUGACCUAAUGUUUUGUCUGACAAGCUAAGAGGACUCUACAUAAUUUUAAAAAAUGUAUCCACAAUGCAAAUAUCUGCUGAGUUGUAAUGCAACCCUUACUUGAACCAAGAUAUUAAUCAAAUGAAAUUAAAUUUCUGGAAAAGAUCUUGUUUAUUGAUGAGAUGAUUUAGCAUAACCUAGCUUGGCUACUUUCUGCCUCAAACAUGUAUUAGGCAAUACCCUAUAUUAAUCUUACUCUGACCUUUCCCAGAUUCACAUUUUCCUACUAGUAAAUAGGCUCAUAUCUACUGAUGGUCUAUGACAUCUUUUUGAACAUCCAAAAUUCCUAAAGAGACUAGAUAGUUCUAAUACUGAGAUAAAAUUGUCUUUUAUUUAACAUGUGCUUACAUUAAACAGGGGAGUCAAGCCACUGCCUAGAUUUAUUUAGGGAAUAUUCCCUUCUUUAUUUUAAUCUUCCUGUAAUCAGGCAGCAAUUUUAAAAAUUCUUCAAAGGACAGUGAGGACUUAUCUUAAUUCUUCUUUGAACCCCUUUCCUUCUGUAAUUUGGAGUAAAAUAUUACAGACAUAUGAGUUAAUAGUUGUUAUCUAAUAAUCAACUUCAAUUUAGGCAACAGAAUUCUGAAUAGACAGAAUCCCUGGAGUAAGGAGAUAGAUGCAUAUAAAGUAAUACACAGGCUUACAUAGAGAAGUGACUAGCUUGUUUGCCCCUUUCUGGUGGUUCUUUAUUCUAAUAAACACAAGGUCAUUGUGUUCACAUAAGUCUGCCACAGAUCUCUCCUAGUGUUGUUUUCAGAUUGCCCAUCAUCCAUCUUGCUACUAGAUCUGCCUUCCUCUGCUGAGCAGCUCCUAUUAUAAUUAGAACAAAUCUCAAGGGAAGCCAGGUUCCUAAGCAGAGGCUCGGCAGUCAUCAGACAGCAUCAUGUGUCCCAGACUUGUGUCUCUGUUUCUACUGCCAACUUUAUCAAGAGUUUCUCCUUACAUGGCAGGUAGUGAGAAAGAGCUACAAAUCACUUGACUUAGGCCAGAAUUACAAGCAAUAGCAUUUCAUUUUAUUCAUGAUGAAGAAUUUAGUCUGGUAGUUUUGAAUAAUAGCAUGCCUUGAUAUUUCAGUGCAUGGAUAAGAAGCCACAGUGAUUUAUGUUUAAAGUAAACCUUAUGACCAUUUACCAUUAGAGAAGAGGAAUAAAAAAUCAAUAUUCAAUGUUUAUGAUGACUAUAUAAUAGCAUGGGAAAUGCUCAGGAUAUGUACUAAGUAAAAAAAUCAGAAGAAAAACAA